rnacentral:sRNA from 1 species
UUUUUUAAAAAAUAUUAAUAUUUUCUUCUAAAUACAAGAUGAUUUGUAUAUAUUCAAUUAUUAAUUUCGUACACUAGCAUUUAAACAUUGUUUUGUACACUAACACUUAUACACCAAAUCAUUCUACACAACAUCUCCUAAAUCGUUAAGUAUACCGACUUGUCUCAUAUUUAUAAAU